CUUGAGUUCGGUCGAGGCAGGCGGAAUUCGUGGUGUAGCGGUGAAAUGCUUAGAUAUCACGAAGAACCCCGAUUGCGAAGGCAGCUUACCAAGCCAUGACUGACACUGAGGCACGAAAGCGUGGGUAUCGAACAGGAUUAGAUACCCUGGUAGUCCACGCAGUAAACGAUGAUCACUAGGGAUUUGCGAUAGACAGUAAGUCCCCGAGCGAAAGCGUUAAGUAUCCCACCUGGGGAGUACGCCGGCAACGGUGAAACUCAAAGGAAUUGACGGGGGCCCGCACAAGCGGAGGAACAUGUGGUUUAAUUCGAUGAUACGCGAGGAACCUUACCCGGGCUUAAAUUGCAGAGGAAUGACCUGGAAACAGGUCAGUCUUCGGACUUCUGUGAAGGUGCUGCAUGGUUGUCGUCAGCUCGUGCCGUGAGGUGUCGGCUUAAGUGCCAUAACGAGCGCAACCCUUGUGGUCAGUUACUAACAGGUAAGCUGAGGACUCUGGCCAGACUGCCAUCGUAAGAUGUGAGGAAGGCGGGGAUGACGUCAAAUCAGCACGGCCCUUACGUCCGGGGCUACACACGUGUUACAAUGGGAGGUACAGAAGGCUGCGACCCGGCGACGGGCAGCUAAUCCCUAAAGCCUCUCUCAGUUCGGACUGGAGUCUGCAACCCGACUCCACGAAGCUGGAUUCGCUAGUAAUCGCGCAUCAGCCACGGCGCGGUGAAUACGUUCCCGGGCCUUGUACACACCGCCCGUCAAGCCAUGAAAGCCGGGGGUGCCUGAAGUGCGUAACCGCAAGGAGCGUCCUAGGGUAAAACCGGUAAUUGGGGCUAAGUCGUAACAAGGUAACCA
rnacentral:rRNA from 1 species